UGGAAAUCUAAACAAUCUAACUCUAGUUAGUGAUACUAUCUCAAUAUCCAUUCAUUCACAGUGGCAAAAGCAAGAGAGUAAUGGGGAGAUCAGGAUGUGAGGGGAGGCUGCUUUAUAGCUGGAGUCCAUGGAGAUAAGGCUAAGAAGCUGAGCUUCACUCGGCACAGCUCACAUGUUCCAGGGCUUAUUUUAGUAACACCUGAGAGAACUCAGAAGGGAGAAAGAAGAGUAACGUGGGUUCCUGCCAGCCACCAGAGUCUCCUGCAGGAAAUUAGUGACACCAGCCAGCUGUUCCAAGGCCCUUGCUGGGCUGUUUCUUCUCUACCCCAAGUUCUCAGGGGACAGCUAUCCCCCUGUGGCCUGCCAUCUCUGGAAGACAAAGAGGGCAACCCCCAGCCUGCUGUGUGUUUACCUCCAACGUGGACGUCAUGAAACCACCCGUAAACAUAGCUUUGCCUGAGUAGGGUGACGAUGGGGGUGGCGGAAGUGUCUGGCAAUCCUCUUUUCUCUAGAAAUGGGAUUGGAAACUGGGUAAUCGCCUAAAUGGGGAGCCUUGAUGAGUCGCUAAGCACUGGCUUCCAUUUUAUUAUGGUUAUGAGGCCCACUGAGCUAACAUAAUCCCUUUCCUGGGCUCUGAGAGAUUGCCAGGCAGCCAGCCACUGCCCCACCUGCCACCCCAGGUGCAUUAGUCUGAUGGGAAGAGGCCCUGAGCUCUGUACAGACUGCAUUUCAUAAUGGCAUUUAAAAGUGGUGACUGAGGAUCGCAUCAGGGGCUGGGACACUGCUGUACGGGCGACUCCCUCUGCCCUUUGACACUGUCCUCCUUCCCUCCCAACAUGAAUGGGACAUAUGUCGUCUAAAUGCAAGGUCGUUGAGGUGAAAGGGCUGCUGGGGGAAGAUUUCAACUUAAAAUGGCUAGUGGGAACAUGUCAUCACGGAAGAAUCAUAGGUGGCAGCCUUCAGCAAUUCCACUAACUCUCGGGGCCUCUUACCCACUCAUCUGUGCUCUGUGACUUCUAAGGCUCUUUUUGGUUUCUCGAGUAAAGAACCCCCAGAUUCACAGUUCACCAACUGAGCUAGGAGUUCCAUCAAA